UUCAUGAUGCGUACGUUACAAGUGAGUAUGCCUCUCAGGAUAUGAUAGAAUGUAUGCGAACAAAGUGGACAAGGAGGUAAGAUAGACGUAUGACACUAUCCGGAUGUCAUAGGAGUGCAUUCCCUUAUGAGACCUCCUUCAUUUGUAUAGGGUGAUGUUAUGAGGAUUUCAUGUUCCUUGUAUUUAGCCUCCUGUUUAAGAUGCUAUUAUUUAUUCUGGACAAAAUGGUGCAUUCUGAUGGGAUUGCUACUAUGAUUAUUUUUUAUAGCAGACGUUGAGAGGAUUGUCCUUUAAAAAAAUAAAUCUCUUGAGUAAAGAUUAGGGAUGUUUCAUUUGGUAUCAGAGCAGUCAUUCCAAAAGGGGCGGUGUGUGCAUGUCAUCUCGUCAGGAAUUCGACUACUUCUGCCUUCAAGUUUGUCAUGGCGAUCCGAAGGAAUAAUGGAGAGAUUGGGGGUCAAAACAGUCAAUUUCUCGCAGGGCUUACUGCGUUUAUGCAGGAGCAGAACCGCAUCCAUGGAGAACAGAUCCAACAGUUGUUGAGAAUCAGGGCAAAUGAAUAAUGCCAUAGCUAACCCACAGCCGGUGUGAACCUAGUAUACAGAUAGUUCAAGGAGCUUGGGCUUACAAAGUUCAAGGGCACUGCAGAUCCGAUCGCUGCAGAGGAAUGGAUCUGCUCCUUAGAAACAAUUUAUGACUUCAUGCAACUCAUUGAUGCGGACAAGGUUAGGUGUGUCAUAUUCAUGCCGUGGGACGACGCUCGGAUAUGGUGGGAGGGUACACGUUCUACGGUGGAUAUGACUACUAUGACCUGGAUAGGCAUCAAGGAAGUAUUGUAUGGGAAAUAUUUCACCACUGACAACCGAACUCGACUGGCAAACGAAUUCCUAGAGCUGCAGCAAGGGGACAUGAUAGUGGCCGAGUAUGUCAGGAAGUUCGAGAGAGGACGAUACAUUGCACCCAUGUUCGCAGGAUAAUCGACCGAGGAGCUGAAGCACUUCAUUGAGGGAUUGAGAGCUACUAUUCGACAUGAUCUCAGGUUAAGUCGAGCUAUCACGUUCAGAGAGGUAGUGGAUCAGGCUAUGAUGUCAGAAAAGGAUCAACACGAUAUGAUUAAGGAAGCGCAGAGUAAGAGAGCGGGAUAUCAAGGAAGGGACCAACAAGAGUGAAGCAAGAAGAAGCCUGCUCCUGCUCAGUUUCAACCAAAAUGGUCGUAGAAACAGUCACAGACAUGACAUCCACCUCAGGGACCCCAAGAAGUGGAUGGUACCACUCCCAAGGUUGAGGACAAAGUUCAAUGCCCUAGGUGUGAAAAGGUUCAUGCAGGACAGUGUCUGAUGGGUUCAGAUGUUUGUUAUAUAUGCAAGAACACAGGGUAUUUCGUUAGAGAAUGCCCUCAGCUCAAAGAGCCAAUCAAAGGAAGAGUGUUUGCUAUGACACAGGAGCAGAUAGAUUUAGAUUUAGCCAUCAUCACAAGUAUGAUUUUUAUUACCAACCUACUUGCUCAUACAUUAAUAAAUUUUGGAUCUACCCACUCUUUUAUAUCUAU